rnacentral:lncRNA from 1 species
CUGCGAAUUCCACACCAUAUGAUCAGAAAUCGAUGGUCGGUUUUAAUUUUUUGCGUUUUUAAUUAGGUGGAGUCAUUAGUGUGGUAAUAUUAUAGGGUUUGGUAUUAUUUAUAGGGUACAGUAGGAUAUAGGGACUAGUAGUUUACAGGGUACAUAGAUUUUUAGGUCCCUAGGACUAGAGCUUUGGUUUCCCGCCGACUUUUUGUAAAUAGGGUUUUCUUCUGGAUUUCGAUUCGUUCUUCGUCUUUCUUCCGCUGGUGUUCGUCUUUCUUAUCUUCUCGAUUAAGUGUUUUCGAUUGAGGAAGUAGGGUUCUUUCUGUGUUUUCUCUGUAGUAAUCUUCGUCAUACCUUCUGUUAUCGUCUGCUUCUGCUCUUCUUCUUUCUUUUUUUCUCGAUUAACUUAGUAAGGUUUCCUUCACAUUAUUGGGUUUUCGUUCAUUCGAAACUCCAAUAAUCCAUUUUGGGGUUUCCUUCACAUUAUUGGGGUUUCGUAAGGUUGUGAUGUUGAUUUUUUUGUAUUUUCGUUCUUGACUUAGUUAUCGUUAAGAUUUGUUUAUCUGUGUUUCCGAUUUAGUUGUGUUUCCGAUUUGUUUCUCUGGCGUUCUUCGUUUUACCCCUCCCGUUUCCAUAUCCUCUAUCUUGUUUUAUCGUUUUUCGACUUCGUUGAAGUUUGUUUCCGAUGUAGUUGUGUCCAUAUCAUCCAUCUUCGGUUUCUCGUUGAAACACAGCAAUUUUCUCAGGGAAUAACGGUCUUGAGAAAAUUUUGAUGCUGCCACUGGAAAAUUUAACGGUUCUCAUCCUCCCGUUUUGUAUUAAUUUUUCCAAAAUAUGUUCUAUUUACCUUCUUAAAUUGAUUUUUUUUUCAAAAAGGACUGUCUUUAGUAAUGAAACUGAACUGCGUUUUUCUCAAUGUACUUCUUCCUCUUUGUUAUUGAAGCUAUUUAUUUUGUUAGCAGGACUCCUUCUGUUUCAGGUAUUUCAACAAAUUUUUUGUUCAUUCAACAACUGAUUUUUAUAAGUCGUACGAUUAAUUGAUGUCAUCUGAUUAAUUUAUAAGUCGUACGAUUAAAUGAUAUCUGAUCAUUUUCCAUAUUGAUGCUAACUCUAUUUGUCUUUUACUUCUACUGGUAAUCUGGUGUCAUAAUUUGUUGUUUCUUUUUUCAUUCAUUUUAAGUGUGCAGUUAUUCAAUUAUUUUUCCAACAACGGUCUGAAUGGCAUAUUUUGCACAUUCACAAUUUUCUUGCCUACAUGAUGAUGUUAGUAAGAAUUAUUAUUCUUAUGUAGGUAUGAAGGUGAACGCAUAACAAAGGCCCUUUCAAAGUUUGUCAACAGCGAGGGAUGUACUGUUUAAAUCAAUGUUCGGCUAUUGUCUUUAUCUAAUUAUUACAUUCUCAGAUAGAUGUAUGCUAAAUAGUUAAAAUAAAAAUCAACCUAUUCUCGUACUGUGUGUUUUUUGUAGUAACCACUUUAAUCAUCGAUACAGGUUGGUACUGAGAUUUUUCGAACUACACAGGGCUAUCGACUAAAACUGCGUUUAUCUAUAUUUGCUAUUAAUAUAAGUGAUUUUUACAGGUGCUUUCUACAGGUUGGUACUGAGAUUGUACAAAGAGCACUUGGUACUUUCAAUUUAAAUAUAGUUAUUUCUUUCUGUUGGUGUGUGGGUUCGUCGUCCAACCUAGUGCAAGAGUGACUCUCAGAAUUAUCAACCCCCUCCCCUGUUGGACCAGGGGAGGUAUUUAUAGUCUUGCGUCCCAGUGCUUGGGCUUCAUGGGCUCGCGCGCCGGGCCCGUCUGUUCACUCG